ACCAAUUUUCUAUUAAUACAAACUACAGAACUCUUUUUUAUGUAUAAUAAAAAGAUUUUAUCAUGUAUAAUUUUCAAAAUCAGACAGCUUACAGGGAGGUAUAUUAAUGGGUUGUAAAUUUAGAGAAUAAAAAAUAAGUGACAUUGUGUUUGUUAUUGUUUUCAGAAAUUCAGCCCAUCAGAUUGCGAACUUCAAGUGCCUGCUGGCUGGCUAGAGUAAGAGAGGUGAUGUGACCCAUAGCUGCCCCAGGAGAAAGGCUCUACUAAAAGGCCAACUGAAAUCCAAAAAGAACUACUUCAGUAACUCUCCAUGGGAUAUAGAGGAGAAAGGCACUGGAGGCUUCGGUGCCAGCAGUUUAAAGACUGACUGGAGAGAGGGCGGAGGUGGAGCAAGAUGGCUGAAUAGAACCCCCCCCGAGAUAGUUCUCCACACAGGAACACCAAAUAGAACAACUAUCCACGCAAGACAGCACCUUCAUAAAAGCCAUAAAAUCAGAGCUGGAGCAAGACUGGCUGAAAUGACCACCAGGCAGAUGGCAGAUUGGGAAGACAAACUGAAAAGGUGAGAGGUGGA